GAAUUAUAACUGUAUAUCACAAAUACUACUUAUGUACAAGUGUAGAUGUUUAUAUCCAAGGAAAUAAAAAUAUUAUCCUGUUUCAAAAGCAAAUUGAUUUACCCUGUUAAACCAAAUACUGUACAUUUCUCAUUGUAUGAAACAAUAGACGCUGAAAGAGCUUAAAACAUCCCACCAUCUUAAUCGUUGAGGACUCCCUUCAGUCGUAGUGGAAAGCUUUCGUAUAGGUCUUUGAGGGCUGCAUAUAAGGGUUCCCCAGCCUUGGGUCUUUCUACAGUUCCAAGAAGAAUGUCAGCUGUAGUGAGGUAAGGAUCUCCAUAGAAUUGGAGAUUAGUAUCCAUCCGUGUUGUAACGACAUUCCCCUCAAGUGAGACUCCCACAAAUGCACCUUUACUGCAACUGUAAGUAUAGCAUAUGCCAGAACCUUUCUCUCCAGCUCGCAGAUCUGCCUCCACAACUCUUCCAACUGGACCAGCUGCAGCACUACAACCAGCACCAAGAGAAAAAUGCAUGCGGCUGCAAAAUGUCUUCACGGCCUUAGAGUCAUGUAACACAAUAAUGAAGUCUGUCAACUCACCUCCAAUCUGCGCACCCCAUCCCAAACCGGCUGAUAGUAUAGCAGAUGGUGCAGACCAUGAACCAUCAGACCUUCGUGCAACCACCAGGCCAGAGCCAAAUUUAUAAGUAAGAAGCAUCCCAGCUUUGGCGACCGUUAAUAUUGCCAGACCUUUAGCUCCUUUUAAAACUGCACCGGGUAUGGACCUCUCAGGAUUCAACCGAGCAACCUGUGCAUACGUCCUCAAAGUGUUUGAUGACUUGUAUAUCUCAUACUCCAUGGAUAAACCCACAGGAAGGUUCAACCAACCUCUUGUAGAAGUCCAAUCCAUAACAUCAUGCUUUGCAACCUGCACAGCAUUGCUGAUGGUGUUGAUGAGCACACCUUGCACUGGGUCAAG
rnacentral:misc_RNA from 1 species